AGCAGUAGCCACGGGAAUACAGAGGGUGCGAGCGUUAAUCGGAUUUACUGGGCGUAAAGCGUGCGUAGGCGGCUUCUUAAGUCGGAUGUGAAAUCCCUGAGCUUAACUUAGGAAUUGCAUUCGAUACUGGGAAGCUAGAGUAUGGGAGAGGAUGGUAGAAUUCCAGGUGUAGCGGUGAAAUGCGUAGAGAUCUGGAGGAAUACCGAUGGCGAAGGCAGCCAUCUGGCCUAAUACUGACGCUGAGGUACGAAAGCAUGGGGAGCAAACAGGAUUAGAUACCCCGGUAGUCCCUGUCUCUUAUAA
rnacentral:rRNA from 1 species